UUUGUGUUUGAUGGUGUUUAUUCCAUCUUUGAUUGGAAACAUUAAAUAGAACUUUCUUUUCAGGAUGACGAAACAGGUACAUUUGCAUUUUGACAUGUUUUACAAACCAAGUGCUCCUAACCACAGGACCCCUCUCCUUUUGUUUUUCUCCUCUCCUCAGACA